GUUCUUUUUCCUUCUCCAGCCUGCUCCAGCCUUCCCAAAUCAACAACAUGACAUACUUCUACAGGACUCUUGCAGUCUUCUGGGUCUUGAUUGAAGGGGUCCUGGCAGGACCAUGGAGCGCCUGGAUGCCUGAGCACAUCAGUGCCUUUGAAGGCACCUGCGUCGUCAUCCCAUGCCGCUUCAACUACCCUGAUGAACUACGGCCCUCAGCGGUGCAUGGCAUCUGGUAUUUCAACAGUCCUUAUCCCAAGAACUAUCCCCCAGUGGUCUUCAAAUCCCGCACCAAUAUUGUCCAUGAGAGCUACGUUGGACGCAGCCGUUUGCUAGGAGAGCUGAAUUUCCGCAAUUGCACCCUGCAGCUCUCUCGCCUUAGUCCUGAACUCACAGGCAAAUACUACUUUCGUGGCGACCUGGGCGGCUACAAUCAGUACACCUACCCUGAGCAUUGCAACCUCGAGGUCAUCAACAAACCCACCAUCGUGAGCCCCCCAGAAGUGGUGGAAGGAACAGAAGUGGAGCUGAGAUGUGUAGUGCCCGACAACUGCCCCGACAUGAAGCCCAUUAUUACAUGGAUGAACUAUGAGACCCUGACUGAACGUUCUGUCUAUGCCCAAGUGGAAGAGGAGGGCAGCACCUGGUCGCUCAUCUCCCUGCUCAAGUUCAUGCCGCAGCGAGAGAACCACGGGCGCGAGUUGGGCUGCAAAGUCACCUACGCCAACACCACUUUUGAGUUUGAAGGAUACACCACCUUGGAUGUAAAAUUCCCACCUCGUAUUGUGCAGGCGAACUCCUCCAUGGAUGUGAUCCAUGGCUCAGACGUGGUGCUGAUAUGUUCUGUAGACAGCAGCCCUAUGGCUCUGAUCACAUGGCUCCGAGAAGAUGAAGUCCUACAUGAGGACGUGGCUGGGAACCUCACGCUACAUCUAGAAAAUGUCACUUACCUCCAGGAUGGCAUCUACACUUGUAUGGCUGAGAACAUCUAUGGCAAAGACAACCAUUCCCUGGCUUUGGCUGUGCUAUAUGCCCCUUGGAAACCAGUUGUGAACACAUCCGUGGUGGCGGUUGAGGGAGAUCCUGUAAGCAUCCUCUGCACCUCACAGAGCAACCCCGAGCCCACCAUCACCAUCUUCAAGGAGAAGAAGCCAAUGGCUAUGGGAGUCUACCAGAACCAGGUGUCCUUGGAGUUUGAGUCAGUGUCUCAUGAGGAUGAUGGGGAAUACUGGUGCACAGCAGAGAACCAGUUCGGUCAGCGCAGCACAGCCUUCAACCUCACCAUUGAAUUUGCUCCAAUUAUCCUGCCAGAUUCCAAGUGCACAGCAGCUCGGGACACAGUGAAGUGCAUCUGUGCGGCCAAAUCCAACCCGGAGGCCGUGAUCACUUUUGAGCUGCCUACGCGUAAUGUGACGGUGAACGAGACGGACCGGGAGUUUGUGUACUCACAGAAAACAGGCUAUGUUGUCACCAGCAUCCUCACUGUUCAGAGGGAGGUGGACUCCCAGCUGUUCAUCGUCUGCUCUGCCAGGAACCACUACGGCACCAAGAAUCAACAACUGCAGUUCCAUCACUCCAACAGUCUGAUGUGGGCAAAAGUGGGGCCUGUUGGAGCAGUGGUCGCCUUUGCCAUCCUUAUAGCUGUGGUGUGUUAUGUCAGCCAGACCAGGAAAAAGAAAAACACAAACGAAAGCUCCAGCUUUAUGCAAACAGACAACCCCCCUGCUGUCUUCAGUGGAGACUACAGGGGUCCAGGCAAACUGGAGAAAUCAGAGGUACUGGAAGAUGAAAGAGGUAGAAGCUAUGCCAGUGCUAGGUUUGGAAGUUCCUGGACAAGAUAGUUUGAGGGUGCCCACAGCCCUCCUAUAGUUCCUGUAAUCUAUUCACUUGCUUUUCUCCUUUUGGCCCAGGGCAGGCAUUUUGUGGCCCUUCCUCCCUAUGUUUUUUGGACUCCAGCUCUCAUGAUCUCUGCUCAUUAGCUAAGCUAACUAGGGCUGAUGGGAGCUUCAGUUGAACAUAUGAAGAGCUGCUUCCUAGCAUUAAAGCAUUUGCAUCUUUUGUCUCUCAGCACUUGCUUGCUCAGAUAGUCUCAAGUGAACAGACAGUGGCAAUAAGCAAGGAGAAGUCCAGGACCAAAACACUUCUUGUUUUGGAAAUGCUUUUCAUGGCAUGCCUAAUAAUGUGACUACUGGCUGCCAGACUUUGACCAGAAAGUCAUGGUUUGGCAUCCAGAUGCAUCACAAAGACACAUAUGACAGUGUUACAGAUACUGUACACGUGCCAGAUGGGCCAACCCCAAAUACACCCCUUCCCGUCCAAGUUUGAGAAAGGCCAUUCUUGAAUUCUUCGUCUUCACGUGUGGCCCAUAAUCAUGGUGCUUGAAACUAAAAUCACAGUUUGAGUCCGGGCCCUUCCACACAGCUAUAUAACUCAGAAUAUCAAGGCAGGAAAUCCCACGACAUCUGCUUUGAACUGGGUUAUCUGAGUCCACACUACCAUAUAUUCCAGUUCAAGGCAUAUAAUGUGGGAUAUUAUUAAUAUGUGUGGAAGGGGCCUCAGAAGAAGAACAUCUGGGUAGCAAAUAGGAUGUGGGUUAAGGAAUAGCCUCCAUGAAUGGAGUAGCAGGAAAAGGGCUGAGAGAUACAAUGGCUGUGGUCCUGUAUAGCACAGCAUAGUGUAAUACUGGGUUGCUGUGAGUUUUCUGGACUGUAUGACCAUGUUCCAGAAGCAUUCUCUCCUGACAUUUCGCCUGCAUCUAUGGCAGGCAUCCUCAGAGGCUCUACAGCCCGGAAAACUCACAGCAACCCAGUGAUUCCAGUCACGAAAGCCUUCGACAAUACAUAGUGUAAUCGUUCCACAUGCAGAAGUAUGCUACACUAAGCCAUUCAAUAUCGCCUGGACCUGUGAAUGAGCCACCGCAGGCCCUUUUUCCCAUGGCUAUUCAGUGACGAGCUGGAAGCAAGAAAGGGAAUCAGAGAAGCCUCUGGUUUUGCUCUCGUAGCCAGACAUAGAAUGGUUAGAUCAUCCACUGAGAACUAUAGAGGUCCUUCAAAGGUCUCAUAAUUCUGUGUCUAGCUACAGAAACACAACCAGACAGUUCCUCAAUUCCUCUCCACGCUCUCCACCAACCUUGCAAUGGCUAUAUAGGGCUGCAGUGGCUGCAUAGUAAAUCUGGGGAGGGAACCUUGGUCAUUUCAGAAGGUGGAAAGGAAUACUCACCUCCUAAGAGAAAGAACACUCACAUGUGUGUGUUUGUGUGUAUGUGCAAUGUUUCUAUCCUGGUGGCUUCAUCUAGAAUGAACCAAUGCCAGCAGAUAGCAUUGGAAUGAAUCAGCUCCAGGUAUUAGUGUGAUUUUUAAAGGAGAUACCCAACGUAUUAAUGCUAUUUGGUUUAUGAAAUCAGAAUAUUUGUUAGCUUCUAAGACCUGGAGCAAAUUCACUGCCCCACUAGCUACUGUUGGGUACAGUUAUCAUAUGGUUAGUGGCACAGAUGUCAAUUUUAAAUUUGCAGGCCUCUAUCUUAACAAAUGUUGGAAAUAGCAACCUUCUAAAGCCUCCUAUAUUAGUUAUUUAUUAUGUAUAUAAUUGUGAAUUGCUUACUAUAUUGUAUGUAUAUGAUUUAAUAUGCAGUUUUGCCUUAACUCUAUGUUGUUUGAGGUUGUGGGAGGUACUGCUGACCAUGUGACUAGAUCUGGGACUAUUCAGACUGAGUCUCCAUUUUAGAAGCCAGUACAGUUGAGAACCAUUUAUUUAGAGUGUUUGCAUCAGAAGCAGUACAGUUUAGAAGUUAGUCAGUGUCAGUAUGUUGCCGUGAUAAGUCAGUCUGUAUUGAGUCAGUGUUCAGUAAUGUAGACUGAAGAGAGUGUUAGUCUGUAUGCAACAGCGAAGAGAUUAAAACAGAAUGCUUUAGAGAACUUACUGUUUAAACUCUCAACCAAUAAGAAAUGUACCUGUAUGCUGAAUACAUGAAAUUUGUAAAUAAGUAAAUCAACUAUAUUACUUUUAACUAAGACUACUUAUUUUUGGUUUCUUGAGAGCUUGAUUUAAAAAGCAAUAUAUUUUGUGGAAAGUAGAGUUUUUAGGCAAUUGAAAUAACACUUCUGAAAAUCUGCUAUAUAUUUUGUGCAUUGGCAUAAUAACGUUAAUAAAACUUUAUUUAUAGACCACUCUAUCUCCCCAAAGGGACUCAGGGUCGUUUCCAACAUAUAUGGCAAACAUUUAAUGCCCACGAGAAGACAUAUAAACAAAUUACAUCAAAAUGGAACACAUCAAACAAUAUAAACUUAAUAACAUACAAAAUUUAACCAGAAAAAUAAGCUUAAGCAUAUCUUUGUUCCUAACAGUUCAGAGAGAUAACAAAAUACAUCGGUCUAACAACUGAGAACCCCAAUUUGCCUUGCAUGAAUACUAGUGGAUAUUUAUCACUAAGGAGAAGAUUAAUUCAAACAAGUAUUUAAAUCUUCUCAGGAAGAUCAUACUUUACAAAAGGAUGUGAUUAUUCCAAAUAGUGUGAGUGCCUAUCAAUCUCCAAAAGGGUCAUGCUUCCAAAACGCUAUGGAGAUUCCUGGUUUUCUAAAAGGUUAUGGUCUCUAAAAGGUAAUGCCUUUCCAAAAACGGGGGAGUCCCCAAAUUAAAAGCAGCUGGUGAUCCAUAUUAGCAAUACAAGUUCAAAACAACUGUAUGAAUUUUUCAUUUUCUGGUUGAAAGAAAGGGCUUCCUGAUAGUCUUGAAAUUCUGUUGGGAAGGAUAAGAGAGCAAAGAGUUUUCAUGUGGUUUUCUCCCUAUAUUUGAAUGUCUUGAAGUGUUCUAGAGGAUUUUUUAAAGAGAGUCUCGUUU